GACGAACGCUGGCGGCGUGCUUAGCACAUACAAGUCGAACGAAGAGCGACGGAAGCUUGCUUCUAUCAAUCUUAGUGGCGAACGGGUGAGUAACGCGUAAUCAACCUGCCCUUCAGAGGGGGACAACAGUUGGAAACGACUGCUAAUACCGCAUACGAUCUAAUCUCGGCAUCGAGGAUGGAUGAAAGGUGGCCUCUACAUGUAAGCUAUCACUGAAGGAGGGGAUUGCGUCUGAUUAGCUAGUUGGAGGGGUAACGGCCCACCAAGGCGAUGAUCAGUAGCCGGUCUGAGAGGAUGAACGGCCACAUUGGGACUGAGACACGGCCCAGACUCCUACGGGAGGCAGCAGUGGGGAAUCUUCCGCAAUGGACGAAAGUCUGACGGAGCAACGCCGCGUGAGUGAUGACGGCCUUCGGGUUGUAAAGCUCUGUUAAUCGGGACGAAAGGCCUUCUUGCGAAUAGUGAGAAGGAUUGACGGUACCGGAAUAGAAAGCCACGGCUAACUACGUG
rnacentral:rRNA from 1 species